rnacentral:rRNA from 1 species
GUGGGUAGUUUGACUGGGGCGGUCUCCUCCCAAAGAGUAACGGAGGAGCACGAAGGUUAGCUAAUCCUGGUCGGACAUCAGGAGGUUAGUGCAAUGGCAUAAGCUAGCUUGACUGCGAGCGUGACGGCGCGAGCAGGUGCGAAAGCAGGUCAUAGUGAUCCGGUGGUUCUGAAUGGAAGGGCCAUCGCUCAACGGAUAAAAGGUACUCCGGGGAUAACAGGCUGAUACCGCCCAAGAGUUCAUAUCGACGGCGGUGUUUGGCACCUCGAUGUCGGCUCAUCACAUCCUGGGGCUGAAGUAGGUCCCAAGGGUAUGGCUGUUCGCCAUUUAAAGUGGUACGCGAGCUGGGUUUAGAACGUCGUGAGACAGUUCGGUCCCUAUCUGCCGUGGGCGCUGGAGAAUUGAGGGGGGCUGCUCCUAGUACGAGAGGACCGGAGUGGACGCAUCACUGGUGUUCGGGUUGUCAUGCCAAUGGCAUUGCCCGGUAGCUAAAUGCGGAAGAGAUAAGUGCUGAAAGCAUCUAAGCACGAAACUUGCCCCGAGAUGAGUUCUCCCUGAGACUUUAAGUCUCCUGAAGGAACGUU